UCAAUUAAAAGAUUAUAAAUAAAUCGUCACGAAAUUAAAGGAGUUAAUUAUUAUAUAUUAAUAGAAAUGAAGAUGUUGCAAAAUAAAGAAAAUAAUAAUUAGGGGUGAUAGGCUUAUCAAAUUUAAAGAUAACUUGAUGGUUUAGAAAUGUAUAAAUACGAAGACAUUCUUGGAGUUAUUAGGUUUCAAGGGGUAAUAAAUUGUUUUGUAAAUUGCGUAUAGGAUUUAAUCAUAAAUACAAUCAUAAAAUAGUAUACAAUUAUUAAAAUUGUUUAUAAUAUAAACCGGUAUAUUUAAUUUAAAAAUUAAUUUCAUAAUGUUGAUAUUAGUAAUAAAAAGAUACUAAUAAUGAACUCGGCAAUAAGCCUUUCAACUGUUUAUCAAAAACAUAGCUAUAUGAAUAAAUAUAUAGUAAUUUCUGCUCAAUGAUAAAUUAAAUAGCCGCAGUACCCUGACUGUGCUAAGGUAGCGCAAUCAAUUGACUUUUAAAUGAAGUCCUGUAUGAAGGAAACUAUGGAGGGCUACUUUAUCAUUAGUAAUUACUGAAUUUGUUAAGGUAGUGAAAAUUCUCCUAUAAAAAUAAAAGACGAGAAGACCCUAGAAAUUUUGAGGUAGUACUUUUUGUUGGGGCAACAAAGUAGCAUUCAAUCUACUGUUAUAACACGAAAUUAAUAUUUAGCGAGAUUAAAUUACUCUAGGGAUAACAGCAUAAUUUGUGAGAGUUUGUGACCUCGAUGUUGGAUUAGGGAAUUUACAUUCAGAAG
rnacentral:rRNA from 1 species